GGAGUUAUGGGAGUGCUUGUUUGCAGGAAAACUGCAAUUCAACAUCAUGUUACUUACGGAGAUACAACAUGAUACCCACCCACUGCACAAGCUUUGCCUAGAAUGUCCUCCAACACCAUUCAUUUGUGAUGGAUGCAAAGAGCAAGGGAUUGGGGUAUGCUAUGAAUGUAAGGAAUGCAACUUUCACUUGCACAAGACAUGUGCAACUACAGUCCCUUCCUCUACUACUCUCUGCCACCCUUUCUUCAAAAGAUGCACAUUCUUGUUCCAUAAGAAAUCCCCAAUAAUAGGUGAUAUGGUUUGUGAUGCAUGUGGGAGAGAUGUAAAAGGGUUCGUGUAUCAAACCAUCUCCUCCGAUGGUGAUCCCUAUCACAUGCAUCCUAAUUGUGCAGAACUCCCACAUACUUUACAAGGUGAAGGGGUGAAGCUGGAGCUGAAAAAAAAGGUAAAAUCCAAGUGCCUAAAAUGCAAAAACAAGAAUUAUGCAAAUAAAAGUCCAAAGGGAUGGGCUUAUGUUUCCAGUUGUGGGAAAUAUAGUUUUCAUGUGGCAUGUGUUAAAGAGAUGAUUUAUGAGGCUCGGGAAAGAAGUCAUUUCAAUAAUAAUCAUGUCGUUGAUGCAACCGACUUAAGUGGCUUGGCAUUGCAAAAUAUGGUUCCCAGCAAUCAAAUUUGGGAGAAAGCCUUGAAAUAUUUGAAGAUGGUGGCAUCGACUCUGAAGAUCAUAGUCUCGGCCAUUUUAGGAGAUCUAGUCACUGCAUUGACAGGUCUAGUUCAAUCACUGCCUUUAAAUUGACCUGCGUGGAAUACAACGUUUUCAGUGUGGUGUGGUAUUAUCUAUAUAUGUUGAACUUUUUGUUUUUCAAUAUGUUGAUUUUAUAAUAUAAUUUUGGAAGCAAUACAUAAAGUUACUUAGCAACAUCACUUUUAGUUAUCUAUUUGAUACCUAAACUUUAUAAAAUAUAUAAUUGUAUAUUAAACCCUUAAGAGGGUGUUUGGUACGAAAUUAACAAGAGAAUAACUUUUAACUCUUUAUUAGAGUUGUUUGGAUUCUUAAAAAGACUAAGUUAACUUUUUAUUUCAUCAAUAUUUAUGCAUUUUAGGGGUUAAAUAUUAAGCUUAAGGUAUAGAUUAAUAAUUAUCCUUUUUAAAAGUUAAAAUUUAUAAGGGUAAUGUUUAACCCUUGAUUUUUUAAUUUUGUAAUUCUUAAACUUAUAAAAUUAUAGCUAUUAAACUCUUGAAGUUAAGAAAGGUGCAAUGCACCUGCGUGUUCACCAACUAUAAGGAUUGAAUCGUUACAUUUUUAUAAAAUUCAAAUCAAAUGGUAUGCAACUAAAAAUAAGAAUGUCAAGUGAUUUUUUGUGUAAAAUUCAGGGACUAAAAGAUGCCUUUUACCUUUAAUUUAAAUAUCAAUUGAAUGGAAUUAAUGAAGUUGUAUGGGAUGGAGGACAGUUUCCCUCUUGUGUAACUCAUUUAUAAUAAUAAUAAAAAAAUUGAAUGUUUAAAAUAUGCUUUCUAUUUUACACAAAGAAAAAUAAAAUUAAUAUUAUAUGAUUAAAAGAAUAACAUAGACCAUACUGUAAAGUUAUAUAUACUAUAGGGAAGAUCUCUUUACUCUAUUUUCAUAGUAUAUUCAACUAAAAUAUUAUGGUUAAUUAUAGAAUAUUAUAGACCCUAAUAAAUAAUGCACCAAUAACUAAUAAAUAUGAUAUUACCUGAAAUCCCAAACACAAGUAAAUUUUUAUGAAGCGUCCAUCGUAAAUUUAGCCAUGUCUAGGCUUGUGUUUUGCUUUGGUUGUGUUAUGUAGUA
rnacentral:misc_RNA from 1 species